GACGUUGAGCAUAAAACUGUUAGAAGUGUGAUUAAGUCGGUCUAGUUUAUGAUGUGCUUUUCAUUUGACUGAUAUUAGAGGCUCUGAAACUAGAGUCAAAAUGAAAUAUUUCGGACUUGAACCACAAGAUUUUGCACUGAAAGUUUGUGUAACAUGUUGCUAUUUUGGGAGGUAAAUGCUUGUGUGAGUUAUAUUUGAACAAACGGUUUAAAAUGGUGUGAUGUUGAGUCUAGGCUACUGUUUUGGCUUGAACAUCAGGAGUUUUUCUGUACCCUCAUGUUAUGCUUAUUAUGAUUGCAUUGGGGACAAUACAUAUUUUUGUGUUUGGAGGGAGGGGUACUUUAUUUUUGAUAAUGACUGUGGUAGAUAGGUAAUAUUAGUGUGAUCGUUUUGGUACCAAUAAAGGUUUAAACUUUGGCAUAUGAGUUGUUGAUUUUGAAAUGGAAAAAGAGAAUGACUGAAGUUGAUGAUUCAUGUUGUGACUUUAAGGUUCAAUUUUUGGUUCUUUGUUCACUAAUAUGUAGUCUUCGUCCAGUUCAACGUAUGUUCGUGGGCUUAGGUAGUGAGUUAUAAAAUUUAAGGGCUCAACACUUUUGCCACUUCGUGGCCACGGAAUAGGUUCGUUAGAAAACGAACUCAACACAUCCGUCCAGUUUAACUAGUUCGUGGACAUGAACGAUGUUCGUGGACUCAGGCACUGAGUUAUAACAUUUGAGGGCUCAGAACUUUUGCCGCCUUCGUGGCCUCGAAGUAGGUUCGUAAAAACGACCUCAACACGUCAGAAUCCAGUUUAACGAGUUCGUUGACACGAACUAUUUUCGUGGAGGCCACGAACUUUGGUCCACCCCUACACUCUUUUAAUUAGUUUUUCAUUCUUGUAGUUGUUUGUUUGUUUUCUUUUGAGUUCUCGGGAACUAGCAUCAGUUACAUCACUGUCUCAGGUGCUAUGGCUAAUCGUUCACUAGUACAACUUACCGACAAGGAGGAACAUCUUGAAAUUGGAGCUUGUCUUUCAGGAACUAUAUAUAAAGGAGUGUGCAGAGGAAUCUUGACGUAUUUGGUAUCAAGAAAGAUGUGACCGUGUUCAUCUUUCAAACCAAGAAUGCUGCCAAAGGCUUUGUCCAACAACUUGAAGAUGCAAAAACAAAAGUAAAAGCAAUAGGAAAAGAUUGCUCAUUCCUUGUUUGUGUCCACUUCGUUAAAGCAUUUAUCAAAACAGACGGAAAAAAGGAAAAAAAGGGAUAUUAUGUUAUUACUGAACCAUUAUCCAAGUUUGAUGCUAAUGGAUUGAAGAUCUUAUUCAAUCACAAAAGUAAACAUUCCUGGCACAAAGAAUCAAAAACUACCCUUAGGUUGGGUGACGGCCCAAAAGAGCUUUUUAGGGAAGUUGGCAAAGCAAUGUAUGCUUUGAACGAAGCUGGUCUUUUUAGCAAUAAAAUUAUGUUUGGAGACGAUGCUAUUCAUAAUCCUAAUGACAACUAUCCAGGUAUUUGGUUUGAGAGUGACCUAAGACUUAGGCUCUCCAAUUGCAAGUGUUUCAAUGAUGAAGAGCAUUGCAAAAUUGCGGAAAAAGAUUGGAUUGACAGGGGCUUGAAAGAAGAUGUUCUUCAAUACACUGAAACACUAUGUUUCAAGUGUUAUUUGAUAUAAACUACUUCAUUUGUAAAGUUUCACAAGAUUGUUGAUAUUUAGGUUUAAUUUUUUACGUCAGAUCUAUUUCUAUAAAACAAUAUACAUAAAUAAGUGUAGUUGUCACA